AAGAGAAAAGGACCGGACCCUCUCCUUCUCUCUCUAGACUCUCACUCUCUCUCUCAACAGACAUCAUCGGCGCUUCAACCACAACGGCGCCGGCACCGCCUUCUCUCUCGGUCCACGAUCUCUCUCUCCUUCUGCCUCUAUCCUCUCCGGCCGUCGAUGGACGGAGCACCACGACAGCCAACUCAGCGACCAACGCCGUCACUAUCUUCGCCGGACUUCCUCUCCCGCCGCCGAUAAACCGACCACCGACCGGUGACCCAUCGUCCUCAGCCAACAGUAGCGGGCCAGUGCUGCCACCGGCGAAACAGCAUCGCCGUAGACAGCUUCAGCUCCAAUCACCACCGGAGAACAGGCACCGCCGUCAUUCUCUCCGUCACCGGAGCUCACCGGAGCUCGAUCUGAGUUGGGUUUUGGGUUCCUGUUGUUUGUUGGGGGUUUUGGUUUCAUCUGUUUCCUAGUUCGUCGUCAAUAUUGGAUUUCGAGUUGUCGUUAUCAAAUCGCGUCGUCGUUCUUGUUUGGGUUUCAUAUAACAAAGUUUGUCUCACUGGUUUUGAAGUUGUCCUAUUAGUUUUUCCCUAUGCUGAGUUGGAUUCAUCGCGAUCGAGGUUCUCCGGUCGAGUAUUUUGGUCUUCGGAUUUCUUUAUUAUCGUCAAGGAUCAAUUUCAUCGAGAGGUUUGCAGUCACUGAAGAAUGCACUUGUACUUCCCUUUCGGCUUGGAUGGAACGGUGAUUCAUGUGUGCCCCAACAACAUUCCUGGAGUAGAGCAUAUUGUCAAUUUGACAAAGCUAAAUGGAAUUGGUCAUACUUCUACUCCUCCUGCUCAGUGACUUGGAUCUAAGAUCACCUAUCGACCCAGAUUAAAGUGGU